rnacentral:rRNA from 1 species
AACGUAGGUGGCAAGCGUUGUCCGGAAUUAUUGGGCGUAAAGCGCGCGCAGGUGGUUCCUUAAGUCUGAUGUGAAAGCCCCCGGCUCAACCGGGGAGGGUCAUUGGAAACUGGGGAACUUGAGUGCAGAAGAGGAUAGUGGAAUUCCAAGUGUAGCGGUGAAAUGCGUAGAGAUUUGGAGGAACACCAGUGGCGAAGGCGACUGUCUGGUCUGUAACUGACACUGAGGCGCGAAAGCGUGGGGAGCAAACAGG